GAUGAACGCUAGCAGAACGCCUAACACAUGCAAGUCGAACGAAUAUUAGUCUUCGGACUAAUGUUAGUGGCAAACGGGCGCGUAACACGUAUCUAACCUACCCUUGAGUGAGGCACAACUAUGGAGACAUAGCUAAUUCCUCAUACGCUCAUCAGAAUGAAAAUAUGAUGAGGAAAGAUUUAUCGCUCAAGGGAGGGGGGUGCGGCCUAUCAGGUAGUUGGUGAGGUAAUGGCUCACCAAGCCUAUGACGGGUAGCCGGUCUGAGAGGAUGUCCGGCCGCAAUGGAACUGAGAACGGUCCAUACUCCUACGGGAGGCAGCAGUGGGGAAUAUUGGUCAAUGGAGGCAACUCUGAACCAGCCAUUCCGCGUGAAGGAUGAAUCGCCCUCUGGGUUGUAAACUUCUUUAGUCUGGGAAGAAAACAUAUAUUCAUAUAUGUCUGACGGUACCAGAAGAAU
rnacentral:rRNA from 1 species